ensembl:lncRNA
GGACCUCGGCGGGCGGGCAGGCCGCCCCGCAGGCCUGAGACUCUGUCCCGGGAAGGGAGUGCGGGGUCCGCGGGCCGCUGGACGGUGUUUCAUUUAGGGGGCGCGGGACGAGCUGGGGAGCCCGCACUGGGGACCCUGUGCCGCCUUCCCUUGGUCGAGCGUGGGGCGGGGACGGCAGUGACUCCCAGCUGCCGCCUCCCCUCCAGGUGGUCGACUGCCCUUCUCAGCGUCGAAAGUCAAGUUCAGGUCCGGGUCUGCACCCCAGUCGCGGAAAGGAGGGAGAACUCAGACCCCGCUCAGCCCGCGCCCCGCAGUUGUGCCCCGCUCCAAACCGGGGAACAGACCGCGGUCCUGAACGCGCCCGCCUCCUGCCUUCGCGCCAGGGUCGGCUGUGGGCUGCUGCCUAAGGACAGCUUCCUGGCCUUCUCGUCCAAGUAGACAAGGGAAGUGGGGACAGAAGGACAAAGUUCAGUGGCACAGAGACCGUGUUCUGCUUUGGGGGCCGUGGUGGCGAGAAGGGUUUUUUGUUUUUUUGGUUUUUUUCUGAGACCGGGUCUCGCUGUGUAGUCCAGGCUGACAGAGAACUCAUUGUGAUCCUCCUGCCUCAGCCUCCCAAAUGCUGGAAUCACAGGUGUGCGCCACCAGGCCUGGCUUAGUGGCCUUUGAAGGAGAUCGAACUUGGGACCUUGCGCUUUCAAGGCAGGCACCCGAACCAGAAUGCCUGAACAAGCCUUGCUGCCACACGGGGCUACUCUGAAGACCAGAUGGGACUCUGCAUUUCAGGGUGCUCUGUAAACUAUGAUACAG